ensembl:lincRNA
CUUUCUUCUUUCCGCCUUUUCACUUUUUUAAUUUUAAAAAAAUUUUAGAUAAGGCUGGUCAUGAACUUGCUGUGUAGCCUAAGCUGGCCAGUAUUUCUGCUACAGCUUUUGUUUUUGUUUUUUGAGACAGGGUCUUGCUCCGUGGUUCAGGUUGGACUUAAACUAUGUAGUGUUGGCUGGCCUCAAACUCCCAGAAAUCCUCCUGCCUCAGCCUCCCAAGUGCUAGGAUCACAGGCCCUGGUGUGCCACCAUGCCCUGCUUUCUGUUACAGCUUUUACCAUGUGGUAUUUUAACAACCUGUUUGGACAACCGCUCCUUACUAGUGUAAGUUCCUACAAUACAGUAUAGGGAUCAUACUAAACUUUAUAGUCUCAGCACCCCACGGAAUAUCUAGAAUUGGGUACUCAAUAAAUGAUUCAUAAAUGAAUGAAUGUGGUGAUAAUUAAUGCCAUGGUUAUAGAUGCCAGCUGUCAGUAUCCUCUAUGAGGUGCGCUGUUUGUCAGUUGCUAAUCUAGAACAUAAUUCACAGUUAAUCUCGAUUGUCACCUUGACUGGCUUGAGAGAUGCCUGGAUUAGGGAAGCGCACUCCUGCUUUUGUCUGGUGUGGCCUUGGGGACUGCACCGGCCUCUGCCCCUUCCUCUCUGGCUCUUCCUUGCUUGCUCUGCUUCCUGGCUGCCAUGAGGUAAGCAGCUUACUCUGUCCCUGUGCCGUGAUGUUUUCGUCACUGAGCCAGCCCAUCAUGGACUGGAUCUUUGAAACUGUGAGACAAACUGAACUACUCAUUUAAGGUGUGUGAAUUGAGUACUUUGUCCCAGCAACAUAAAGCUGACGAAUGCAGUAACCUAAUUUUAUUUUAUUUUUUUGUGUCCUUCUCUAGACUUCAAAGCAACAUAAGCUGAAAAGGAUCCGGAAACACACAGAGUCAGAAGAAGACCUCAGGAUGGAAUGGAGCAAAGAUAACCAGUCACAUAUUUCAGAACUUCCUGUGGACUGGACCCAGGAAUAUAUACUCUGGUCAAUGGCCAGGAGUCUUCAACAGAUCUUCCAACACCUGGAAAGUGCAAGAUUAAGUCUUAUGGAACUGGAUUUGCCUGAAUUGCAGGAUGUGACUUCCUCCACCACCUCUCUUCUUGAGGCUCAGGAAGCUGCUCCACCCUGCUGUGUCUGUGAGAAGGCAGCAUAUUCCAGCGAUCACAGCAUCUCUUCUGGAUCAUCAAGCAAUAGCUCCAGCCUGUCUUACCCUUCUGCCUUCUUUGAGGGGACAACUGGGCAAUUUCAGAGCAAUAGUUUGCCUGUUUCCCACAGAAAGCAAACAGCUGUGUUCAGGAACCAAGGCACAUCUCUGUCACCUUUUCAGCUGUCAGAGUCUGAGCACCCAGAACAUCUUCAGAAUUUGGAAGCUCUUUCACACUUACCACCACAUAACUCUUUUAUUGACUCCAUGUUUGAACCCCCAAAUGUUUGCAAACAAGAAAAGAAAACAAAAAAUAAGAGAAGGAGAAGGAAUCAUUUGUUAUUAGAUCAUGGGCCAAAUUCUGUUUUGAAUGAAAGACUACAACUCCCAGGGUGGGCUCUGUCCCGGCUCUCUCCUUUGGCUAGAGGGGAGCUAGAAGGACAUAUGUCUUGGAAGGUUUGUACUUUGCAGGAACAAACAGUGCCUGUGCCUGUGAAGAAAUCAUGGGCAAUGCUGAAUUAUUUGAUUGAAGUACCAGGAGGAGCCCAUGAACUAGAGAACCCCCAGACUCAGUUAUCUACACUCACUCAUCAAAGCACUGAGCAAAAUAUCAACAAUAAGUCCCCAGACCUUCCAUCUGGAUUAAAUAGGACAGAAACAAGAAUUUCCCAGUCACUUAUCUCAAGUACACAAGUGACUGAUAUGCAGUGGACCCCAAAGCUUCCUUAUAAAGUCACAGAUAACAUAAAGAUAACUCCAUUGGCGUUGCUUCAGGUCAUGGAUUCAAUGGGCUUGAUUCCAGAAUCACCUUUACAAGUGAUGGAAUCUGCAGAUUUCUUCCCACAGGCACCAAAUCAAGCUGUAAAGCCAGUGGAAGUCAUGGAGGCAAUGCAUGUAACUCCCAAAGCACCAAAUCAAAUAACUGAAUCAGUGGAAGUGACUCCAAAGACUCAGCAACAAGUUGUGGAACCAAAUAGGAUGGCUUCAAGGCUAAAUCAAGUCGUAGAUAAUGUGAAGAUAACUCCUCUAGCAUUGCUUCAAGUCACGGCUUCUAAAAGAAUGAUUAACGAAUCAUAUCCACGUAUCAUAGAACCACUAGGAAUGACCCCAAGGCCACAAUAUCAAGCCACAGAGUCCAUGAAGCAAGCCAUUAGACCAGGAAAGAUGAGUCCAAUGCCACAACACGCAGUCAUGGAAACUGUGGAAAAGGCCCCAAGGCCAAAACACAAAGUCAUGGAAUCAGUGAGUACGACUUCAGGGUCACACAGUCAAUCCAUGGAACAAGUAAAGAUUGCUGUAGACCUAAUACAUCAAAACUCAGAAUCAUUGGAAAUGACCUCAAUACCAUCACAUCAGGUCAUUGAUUACAUGAAAGUAACUCCAGUGGCACUCUUACAAACGAUGAGUUUCACGGAGAUUCCACCAGCACAGACACAUGAUAUAGAAUCUGGGGGUUUGAGCCCAGGUUCCCAAUCUCAAAUUGCAAAUUUGACCCCAAGGACAACUCAGUCAGAUGUUUUGACUUCUACUAGCUCUUCUACUGCUAUUGCUCCACUAGGCGUUGUAGAAUCUGUGAGUUUACCUCCAGAGUCAACACCAAAAAUGAUGGAAGCAAGGAAGAGUCUAACACCAUCACAUCAAUCCAUACACUCCCUAAAUGUAAACUCAGUAGCACUGGGUUUACCCAUGGUUAUGAUCACAAAACCACAGUCACAAGUCAUAGAAUCUGAGGGUUUGAUCCCUCAGCCAGUAUCUCAAGGCAAGGAAUCCCUGGAAUUGACUUCUGGGUUAAAGAUUCAAGUGCUAGACGCUGAAGGGGUGGCUCCGUCAUAUCAUCAAGGCACAGAGUCUGCAUCAGGACUGCCUCACCAAGUCACAGAUCCUUCAAGGUUGACUCCAAGGCAUCAAAUCCUGGCAAAUUCUGUGAUGAGCCCAAGGCAAAGUCAUAAAGUGAUAGAAGCUACAGGGUUGACUUCUGACACAUGGCUACCGAUGAAGAAAUCUGUACCGUUGACACAAUCACAUCAUCAAAUAAUGGAACCAUUGGAGACAAUCCCAGCAUCACUAGGUCAGGGUAUAGAAUUUACAGGAAUGCUCCAAAAGCCACUGCAUGAAGUCACACAACCCGCAGUAAUGACUACUCCAUCUGUGCUUCAAGGUGUAAAAUAUAUGGGGGCAAAGCCAAUACCACAACUUAAGCUUACAGAUUCUACAGAAUUAUCCCCUGGAUUGCCAAAUGUAAAAUCUAAAAACCUGAUCCUGGAACCAGCGUUGCAAAGUAUGAACUCUGUAGACACAACCACAGGUUUAGACCCACAAAUGGUAAAUUAUAAACAACCAAUCCCAAGUGUGAAAUCUAUAGACUUGGUCCCCAAGGUUCAAUGGCAGAGUGUAAAAUCUGAGGAGUUAGCUCCCAUACCACAGCUGCAAAGUAGAAAAUCUAUGGAUUUGAUCCCCAGUUCACAGUUUCAAGGCGUACAACGUGUUCAUUUGGCUCUACCCCCAGAGUGUCAAGAUAUAAAAAUGGCACAGGUGACCCUAAGACCACCACUAGAAGAAUCAAAAUCUGUGGAGUUGGCCCCAAAGCCAUGGUUACAAAACACCAGCCUGGAGGAGGUAGCCCCAGUACUAUUGCUUAAAGACAUGAAAACUCCUCAAAUGAUAGAAUGUAGGAGCUCAACUCCUCAGACACAAGUGCAAAGCAUGAAAUUAGGGGAACUGAUCACAGGCACACACCUUCAACCAAUAAAAUGUGUAGAGUUGAACCCUGAUCAAAAUCACCAUGCCACAGAACCUGAAGGACUGACCCCAUGGAAUCAUGACUCAGAAUCUUUAGGGAUGAUCUCAGAGUUAGAAUAUCAAGGAACAGUAGCCAAACUGACCGGUGAUACUUGUCACCAAGUGGAGGAAUCUGUUGGGAUGACACAAUCAUCUUUAGGAAUUACCACAGUUCCAUUGGGCCAAACUACAAAAUCUAUAGAGACGAGCCCAUCGUCACUCCAAGACACUACUGGGACUAUGUUCCCACCUGUAAAAGUGGUAAUGACUCCAGAAUUACAACGCACAAUAGAAGAAUCUCUGAAUUUGAUACCCAGAUCAGAGGUACAAAGUGUGAAAUCAGAUGUAUUGACCCCAGGGCCACAGCUCCAGGGAGUAAAAUCUAGGCAGACUGAUCCAGAAUCACAUUUGCAAGAUGUGAAAUGUGUGAAUUUAAUACCACAGUCAAGGAGAGGAGGGGUAGAAUCUGAGAGGCCAAAACCAGAAGCAAUGGUACAAAGUGUUUUAUUGAAAGAAUUGACUAAAGGAGCAGAACUCCAAAGUGUGACAUCUGUAGAUUUAAAUCUAGACCCAGGGAAAUCAAGUGUCAAAUCUUCUGGAUUGACUCCAGGGCCACAAUUGCAAAGUGUCAGAUUUUCAAAAUUAUCUGUAGGGUCACUUCAAGGAGAAAAACCUGUGGAUUUAAUCUCAGGGCCUCCACAUGAUGGUGUGGUACCUGAUGAAAGGACUCCAAGUUCUCCAAUUCAAGAAAUCAAAUUGUUAGACUUUAUCCCAGGGUCCAAAUAUCCAAGUGUCAAAUCUGCACAGUUGACUCCAGUGGACCUAACCUCAGGACCAUGCUUGCAAGACGUAAAAGUUUCAGAUUUGAUUUUAGAGCCAAAGCAUUCAGGUUUGAAACCAGGAGCUCAGCUUCAAGAUACAAAGUCUGUAAAGUUUGUAACAGAAUCUUCUUUGCAGUUAAACCAAGGACUACAAGUUGAAGACAAGAAAUCUGUGCUCUCUACUGAAGGAUCACAUUUUCACAGCAUCAAACCUAUGAUACUGACCUCAGAACUACAAUUUCAAGACAUGAAAUCUGAAGAAGUAAACCAAGGGCAGAAAGAUACCAACUUUUCUAAGCUAGUUUUAGGCCCAAAGCUUCAAGAUGUCACAUUAGGGGAGCAAACUCAUGAUGUGAAUUCUGUAGUGGUGACUCCGGAGUUAGGACAGCAUGAUUCCAAAUUAGCCAAGAUGUCCUUUGGUUUUCAAGAUAUGAAACAAGUAGGGCUUCACCAAGGGCCGUGGCUACAAGAUGUUAAAAUUUUUAAUUUAAUACCAGGAACUCAGCCUCCAAGUAUGAAGUCUUCAGAGUUAAGCUCAGGGCCACCGCUGCAAUGUAGAAAAAUUUUAGAGCUGACCUCACAGCCAGAGAGGCAAGGGGUUAAACCACAGUUAUUAGUACCAGAAUCACGGUUUCAAGAUGUAAAAUAUGUAACAGCUAACCAAGUACCCAGCUUUGAAGGUGACAUUUCUUAUAAGUUAGUCUCAGAGCCACGGUUACCAAACGUAGAAUCUAUGGAGUCGAAGAUGGGGACACAGUUACCAUGUGCAACCUGUUCUGAGUCGACCAGAGGGCAACAGUCGCAAGGUAUGAAAUAUUCUGAAUUGAUCCAAGAGCCACAGCUGGAAGAUAUAAAACCUGGGGAGCAGAUCCCAGUCUCAUGGUUUCAAGGUUUAAAAUCUGGGAAGCUGAUCUCAGAACCACAGCCAGAAGAUAACACAUCUGUGGAGUUAAUCCUAAGGGCACAUUUGGGAGGUAUGAAAUCUAAGAAGUUAACACCAAAGCGAGAGCCAGGAGAAGUCAAAUCUAUGGUGUUAAGCCCAGGGCCACAGACCAGAGGCAUAAAGGCUGGGGACCUGGCCCCAGGUUCAGAGCUUCAGGGUUUAAAAUCUGAGUUGAUUCCUUUAGGAUCACAGUUGAAUGAUAAGAAAUCUGUGGUCUUAACUCCAGGACCAUGUCCAGAAGGUAUGAAAUCUACGGAGUUAACCUCCAGUCCCCAGCUAAAAGUUUCAAAAUCUGUGGAGGUGACUCCAGGUUCAAGAAUUCAAGAUUUGAAAACUGAAGAGUUAGUCCCGGGUACCAAGGUUCAAGAUAUGAAAGUUAUGGAACUGAAACUUGGGCCAAAGAUGCAAGGUGGGGAUUCUGUGGCUUUUCCAUCAGAUCCAUUGGUUCAGUUUGUUAAAUCCAAGGAAGUUCUUCAAAGGCCUCAACUGCAAAGUAUGAAACCUGAGGAACUGAUUUCAGAGCCACAAAUGCAAGAUAUGAAACUCGUGACUAUUACUCCAUUAAUUAAACUGCAAAACUUAAAAUCUGUGAAGGAUACUCCAGGUUCACAGCUGCACUGUGAAAAAUCUGUGAAGUUGGCCCCAAGGCCGAAGAGGCAGGAGGCAAAAUCUGUGAGUGUUACCAGAAGGCAACAGUUUCAAGGAAUAAAAUCUGUGGAUUUAGACCCAAAGCAACGAUUUCAAGGGGUGACACCAGUGAGUUUAACUCUUGAUCCUGGACAGGAUGGCCAGGUAUUUGUAAACUUACCGGGAUGGAAACAUGUGAAUUUAGAACAACUGACGAAAGGAUUUGAGUCAGACAGUAUAGUGUCUUUGGAGUUAGUUCCAGAGCCCAAAUCAAAAGGUAUGAAAUCUGUACACCUCAAUUCCCAGAUACAGUUGAAAAAUAUGAAACCAUUUGAAUUGGCUCCAGAACCAGAUAUUCAAGAUGUAAGAGCGAAAGCAUUGAAAUAUGAGUCACAGUUGCCAAGUAGAAAACCUCCUAAGUUGACCCCAGGACCACAGCUUCAAGAGAUGAAAACUGUGGAGUUAAUCGGAGAACCACAGACUGGGAGUAUGAAAACUAUUCAGUGGCUAUCACGACCUGAGUUCCAAAGAGUGACCUCCGUAGGGUUAAAUCUUGCAUCAAAAUCUCAAGGUUUUAAACUUGAAGAAUUGAAAUCUUCCACACAAUCAGGAAGAGUGAAGUCAUCUGAACUGACUUUAGGACCUAAACUUCCAGGAACAAAAUCUGCAGAGUUUAAUCCUAAGUCACAGUUACAGUGUGUGAAAACCUCUGAGUGGUUCCCAGGACAAUGGCUACAAAACAGGAAAACUUUGGCAUCAACUUCAGAGCCACAGCUUCAAGGUAUGGAAACUGUGGAAUUAAACAAAGAGCCGCAGGUUGGAAAUAGGAAAUCUCUGCAGUGGAUUCCAGGACCUGAGUUCCAAGGUGUGAAAUCUAUAGCAUUAAAUCUGAAGACGCGAUCUCGACAUAUUAAACCUACAAGGUCGAAAUCUUCCAUACAGCCGGGGAGUAUGAAAUCAUCUAAAUUGACUUUAGGGCCAAAACUUCAAGAUGAAAAAUUUAUGAAAUUUGAUCUUGGGCCACAGGAACAGCGUGGGAAAUCCCCCGAGUUGUUCCCAGGGUCCGAUCGACAAAAAGGGAAACAUUUUGGGUCAACCUCAGAACCACAGCUUCAAGAAAGGAAAUCUGCAGAGAUCUACCAAGGGUCACAGCUUGGAAGUAUGAGGACUAUCGAGUGGAUGCCAGGACCGGAGUUUCAAGUUAUAAAAUCGGUGCUAAGUCUUGGGCCACAAUCUCAAGGUGUCACAGCUCUAGAGUUGAAAGCUUCAAAACAAUUGAGAGAGGUAAAGACAUCUGAAUUGCCUCCAACGUCAAAGCUCCAAUGUAUACAAUCUUUGGCAUCACUCCAGGAAUAUCAGCUUCAUGGGUUCAAACCCAGUGAUUUGAAAUCUGAGCCAGAGUUCAGAAGUAUGAAAUCACAUGACGCGACUUCAAGGCCAAAGCUCUGUGAUGUAAAAUCCAUGGUAUUCAACCCACAGCUUCAUUUGCAAGAUGUGAAAUCUGAGUUGACCCCAGGACUACAGCUACAAGUGAAACCCUUAGAGUCAUCCCCAGGAACACAGCUUCGAUGUACGAAGUCUGUAGUGUUCAUGCAAGAGCCACAGCUUCAAGAAGAGAAAUCCAGGAUAUUAAGCCAACAGCCACAAUUACAAAGUGAUAAAAUUGUAGAGCUCAACUCUCUACUACCCUUGAAAAGUACAAAAUCACCUGAAUUGGCUCUUCAGACAAAGCCUCAAGGUAUGAAAUCUGAGGAGAUCAACUCUGGGCCCCCAUGGCAAAGUACAAAAUGUUCUAAACUGACACCUAAGACAAAGUCCCAAUAUAAAAAAUGUAUUCAGUUAAGCCCCAGCUCACAGUUGAAAGGUACACCAUUUUCUGAUUUGACCAUGGAAAAAAAGAUUCAAGGUGUCAAAUCUACAGACUUCAAACCUCAGCCACAGUCUGAAGGAGUAAAAUCUUCUGAGUCAAUACCUAGGACAAAGCUUCAAGAAACAAAACUGUUGGAAUUCAACUCAGGCCCACAGUUGCAAGAUAUGAAAUCUUCUAGGUUGAUCAUGGGUACAAAGCUUCAAGAUACAAAAUCUAUGGAUUUCAGUUCUGAACCACACUUACAAGGUGAGAAAUCUUCUGAAGUGAUCCUAGGGGAAAAGCUUCAAGGUGUGAAAUAUGUAGAAAUCAAAUCUAGCCCAAAGUUACCAUGUGAUUGCAUCCUGGGGAAGGACUUUCCAGGUAUGAAAUCUGGACAACACUUUAAAAGUAAAAAAGCUUUUGAAGCGGCACCAGGGACAAAACUUCAAGAUUCCAACUUUGGACCACAGAUUCAAAGCCAAAAAUCUUCUGAGUUGGUUCAAGGGACAAAGUUUCAAGAUGUGAAAUCUAUAGAGUUCAACCAUGGUCUAAAGUUACAAGAUACAACAUCGGCUUUAAUACCAAAGACAAAGCUUGAAGGUGGGGAAUCUGCAAAAUUCUACUUGGGCCCCCAGUUGCAAGACGUGAAAUAUUCUAAGCUAAUCCCAGGGACACAGUUUAAACAUAUAAAAUCUAUAGAGUUUCCUUCUAGACCAUAUUUGCAGGGUGCGAAAUCUGUCAUAAUCCCAGAAACAAAGCUUCAAAAAGAAAAAUGUGUGAGAGUUAUGUCUCAGUUACUACAGCAAGAUAUAAAAUCUUUUCAGGUGACUCUAAGUAAGACACAAGAUAGAAAAUCUUUGAGGUCUAACUCUGCUCCACCAUUUCAAAAUAGGAAAUUGUCUAUAUUGAUACCACAAAUAUAUGAUGAAAGUAUGCAAUCUGUGGAAUUCAACCCAAGCAUUGAGUUGCAAGGUGUGAAAUGCGAGUCUAUAAACCAUCCAACAAUGAACUACACAGGGGUCAAUGAUGGCUCCGAAGAAUCCUCUGAGUUGAAACCUACAACAGAGCUUCAAGAUAUAAAAUCUGAGGUGCUCUGCCUUGAACCACAUUUGCAAGGUAUAAACUCUUCUGCACCCAUUCCAGGACCAAAACUUCAGUGUGCAAAUUCUACUGGGUGCAAUCCUGAGCCAUAUUUGUAG